UUUCCGUAGGUGAACCUGCGGAAGGAUCAUUAAAAAAUAAUCCUCAUGGAUUAUAAAUCCAUACCCACCUUUUGUGCACCGUAACUUGUCCAUUGUUUUUCCCUUUCGGAUACUUCUCGACAAGAUUGACAUUUUGUCGGGGAAUUCCGGGAGGGAGAGCGAUACUAUCACACACGUUUAUUUUAUUAACUUGUCUGAAGUAUAACUUUUGCGAAAGCAGAAAUUAUAAAACAACUUUCAACAACGGAUCUCUUGGCUCCC
rnacentral:misc_RNA from 1 species